rnacentral:miRNA from 1 species
AUCACCUGGGAAUCGUGCUACAGUGCAGAUUCUGGUUCGGUAGGUCUGAUACGGGCUUGAAGAUUCUGCAUUUCUAACAAGCUCCCAGGUGAUACCAGU